UUUCUGUGCUCCCAUGACAUCUUCUUGUUCAAUACAAACAUCCAAAUACACUAUAAUGAUGUUCUAUAUUUAUUAUAUACUCUCC